rfam:Ovis aries breed Texel chromosome 3, whole genome shotgun sequence.
UCCAGGGUGGCUCAGUGGUACAGAAUCUGCCUGCAAAGCAGGAGCCACAGAAGAUGCAGGUUUGAUCCCUGGCUUGGGAA